CCUACUGGAGGCAGCAGUGAGGAAUAUUGGUCAAUGGACGAGAGUCUGAACCAGCCAAGUAGCGUGAAGGAUGACUGCCCUAUGGGUUGUAAACUUCUUUUAUCUGGGAAUAAAAUGUUCCACGUGUGGGUUUUUGUAUGUACCUUAUGAAUAAGCAUCGGCUAACUCCGUGCCAGCAGCCGCGGUAAUACGGAGGAUCCGAGCGUUAUCCGGAUUUAUUGGGUUUAAAGGGGGCGUAGGUGGAUUGUUAAGUCAGUUGUUAAAGUUUGCGGCUCAACCGUAAAAUUGCAGUUGAAACUGGCGGUCUUGAGUACGGUAGAGGUGUGCGGAAUGCGUGGUGUAGCGGUGAAAUGCUUAGAUAUCACGAAGAACUCCGAUUGCGAAGGCAGCUCACUGGACUGCAACUGACACUGAGGCACGAAAGUGUGGGUAUCGAACAGGAUUAGAUACCCCUGUAGUC
rnacentral:rRNA from 1 species